rnacentral:tRNA from 1 species
GCUGGGGUGGCGAAAUUGGCAAACGCAAGGGACUUAAAAUCCCUCGGGAGCAAUCCCUUCCGGGUUCGAUCCCCGGCCCCAGCA